GCGGAUCGUAUGUUAACCGGCAAACUACCAGCUUGUGACGCUGGCGUCCCGGGUUCGAGUCCCGGCGAUCCGCCCCA
rnacentral:tRNA from 1 species